rnacentral:lncRNA from 1 species
AUAAUCUAGCUUUCAUUUACUAUAUCAUGAAGCUUGCAAGUAUCAUUGUAUUCAUUUUACAGAUGAGGAAAAUGAGAUUUACAGACAUUAAGAGACUUGCCCAGUCAUACACACAUGGAGUGGAAGAGCUGAGACUUCAACCAAGAUGUUGUGCUUUCCACACCACAAUACAGCCUCCAGGGGACCAAGAGAGGAAGACUGGGGAGAAAAGGAAAGUGAAGGAAGACCAACUUGAAUUGUUUGGAUACCACCCCCCUCCCUUGCUGCUCCCUACUAUGCCCACAAGGACAGGAGUAUUCCUGGGGAGCCAGAAUACCUGACAGUGUUUAGGACCUCAAGUGCCUUUGAGUUGUGCCCCCCCUCAUUUCACCUGCCUGCACUCACAUUUUGCAUUAUGAACCUGCAGAAGUGAAGGAUAAACAAGAGGUGUGUGUAUAUAUGCUUGGUUGGUCACUCCUACUUUAGGAUCCAGUGCCAAGGCUAUGUACUCUAGGGUUUCUACCGACAGUGUGACUUUGGCGUCUGUCCCUUGUCUGUGGGGUGCUUGAUUUCCUAUCCUCCCAGUCUCCUUUCAAUUUGAUUUCCACCCUUCCCCCACGCUUUUUGGCUCUUGGUCUUAAUCCAUUCGAAUCUUCAAGAACCUUCAGGAAUACUGGGGAGGGGGGCGACCUCUGCCUGUC